rnacentral:misc_RNA from 1 species
CUGAUGAUCUGGAAGUAACAUAGCUAUGCAACAACAACCGUAUGAACUUCUGUCACCUGGGUGGUGAACAAUUAGACAGCAGCCAUCUCUCAAUUCAAAUGACUCCCAGGCAAAUCAUGAAAUUGACACCACAUAAUUCUGGGGUCCAGCAAAAGGCAAGCUUGUUGCCUACUGGAGCAAUUUGCAUGUCGAAGUCAUGCCCAACCUUGAAUGUAGAGCUCUGAAGUAGCAUAAAUUGAUGAGCUUCACUUAUGGUGUAAUUUCCCUUCUAUGCCAAAACUCAUAAACGAUAUGAGACAUUUACAUAGGCAGCUCAUUGACUUAGAAAGGAGCCUCAAGUGAUUCAUCCCAAACAUCUGCACUUCCAUUUGAGACAUCCUCUACAUCUUCUUCCAUUGAAAGCCUGAUGUACUCCCUAUGUGCAAAGCGAUCCCACUC